rnacentral:rRNA from 1 species
CCUUAGAGUUUGAUCCUGGCUCAGGACGAACGCUGGCGGCGCGCCUAACACAUGCAAGUCGAACGAGCGGAGGCCUUUCGGGGCUGAAGCUAGUGGCGGACGGGUGAGUAACACGUGAGGAACCUGCCUUGUAGAGGGGAAUACCGUUUGGAAACGAACGUUAAUGCCCCAUAAUGUAUCGGAAUCGCAUGGUUUUGAUACCAAAGAUUUAUCGCUGCAAGAUGGCCUCGCGUCUGAUUAGAUAGUUGGUGAGGUAACGGCCCACCAAGUCGACGAUCAGUAGCCGGACUGAGAGGUUGAUCGGCCACAUUGGGACUGAGACACGGCCAAGACUCCUACGGGAGGCAGCAGUGGGGGAUAUUGCACAAUGGGCGAAAGCCUGAUGCAGCGACGCCGCGUGAGGGAAGACGGUUUUCGGAUUGUAAACCUCUGUCUUCGGGGACGAAACGAGACGGUACCCGAGGAGGAAGCCACGGCUAACUCCGUGCCAGCAGCCGCGGUAAUACGGAGGAUGCAAGCGUUAUCCGGAUUUAUUGGGUUUAAAGGGUGCGUAGGCUGUGCGGCAAGUCAGGGGUGAAAGCCCGCCGCCCAACGGCGGAACUGCCUUUGAUACUGUCGCGCUGGAAUACGGAUGCCGUGGGAGGAAUGAGUAGUGUAGCGGUGAAAUGCAUAGAUAUUACUCAGAACACCGAUUGCGAAGGCAUCUCACGAAUCCGUCAUUGACGCUGAGGCACGAAAGCGUGGGGAGCAAACAGGAUUAGAUACCCUGGUAGUCCACGCUGUAAACGAUGAAUACUAGGUGUAGGUGGCGUAGGCCAUCUGUGCCGCAGCUAACGCAAUAAGUAUUCCACCUGGGGAGUACGGCCGCAAGGUUGAAACUCAAAGGAAUUGACGGGAGCCCGCACAAGCAGUGGAGUAUGUGGUUUAAUUCGACGCAACGCGAAGAACCUUACCAGAGCUUGACAUCCCGGUGACCGUUCCUUAACCGGAACUUUUCUUCGGAACAUCGGUGACAGGUGCUGCAUGGUUGUCGUCAGCUCGUGCCGUGAGGUGUCGGCUCAAGUGCCAUAACGAGCGCAACCCUUGCCGUCAGUUACCAGCACGUCAUGGUGGGGACUCUGGCGGGACUGCCACCGCAAGGUGUGAGGAAGGGGGGGAUGACGUCAAAUCAGCACGGCCCUUACGUCCGGGGCGACACACGUGUUACAAUGGUGGGUACAGAGGGGUGCUACCUGGUGACAGGAUGCUGAUCUCGAAAGCCCAUCUCAGUUCGGACUGGAGUCUGCAACCCGACUCCACGAAGCUGGAUUCGCUAGUAAUCGCGCAUCAGCCAUGGCGCGGUGAAUACGUUCCCGGGCCUUGCACACACCGCCCGUCA